rnacentral:sRNA from 1 species
ACACGAGAGAGGAGGUGGUCCACCAGUGAGUUCCGGUAGGACGCGUGAGGUGGCUGUCCGCUAAGGACCACCCAUCAACGAUGGACGCCGGCUCCGCCCACGGCAGACACCGGGUACCCGGUGCCGUAGGCGCGGCGCGUGGUCGGCGAAUACCAGGCAGUCACCCGGCCCCUGGGCUUCCGUGGUAGUCCGCCACGGGCCUCCCUCGCGGAGGAGUCGCCCAGGGGCUGUGCCCU